UACGUAGGGUGCGAGCGUUAAUCGGAAUUACUGGGCGUAAAGCGUGCGCAGGCGGUUUUGUAAGUCAGAUGUGAAAUCCCCGGGCUUAACCUGGGAACUGCGUUUGAAACUACAAGGCUAGAGUGUGGCAGAGGGGGGUGGAAUUCCACGUGUAGCAGUGAAAUGCGUAGAUAUCUGGAGGAACACCGGUGGCGAAGGCGGCGUCCUGGACCAACACUGACACUGAUGAGCGAAAGCCAGGGGAGCAAACGGG
rnacentral:rRNA from 1 species